rnacentral:rRNA from 1 species
GGGGCAUCAGGAAGAAAGCUUGCUUUCUUUGCUGGCGACCGGCGCACGGGUGAGUAACACGUAUCCAACCUGCCCUUUACUCGGGGAUAGCCUUUCGAAAGAAAGAUUAAUACCCGAUAGCAUAAUGAUUCCGCAUGGUUUCAUUAUUAAAGGAUUCCGGUAAAGGAUGGGGAUGCGUUCCAUUAGGUUGUUGGUGAGGUAACGGCUCACCAAGCCUUCGAUGGAUAGGGGUUCUGAGAGGAAGGUCCCCCACAUUGGAACUGAGACACGGUCCAAACUCCUACGGGAGGCAGCAGUGAGGAAUAUUGGUCAAUGGGCGUUAGCCUGAACCAGCCAAGUAGCGUGAAGGAUGAAGGCUCUAUGGGUCGUAAACUUCUUUUAUAUAAGAAUAAAGUGCAGUAUGUAUACUGUUUUGUAUGUAUUAUAUGAAUAAGGAUC